GUCUAGAGGAAUGAGGGUUUGGGGCCAUUAGGGACAGUCUAGAGGGAAUGAGGGUUUGGGGCCAUUAGGGACAGUAUAGAGGGAAUGAGGGGCCAUUAGGGACAGUAUAGAGGGAAUGAAGGGACAUUAGGGACAGUGUAGAGGAAAUGAGGGGCCAUUAGGGACAGUAGAGAGGGAAUGAGGGGCCAUUAGGGACAGUAUAGAGGGAAUGAGGGGCCAUUAGGGACAGUAUAGAGGGAAUGAGGGGCCAUUAGGGACAGUAUAGAGGGAAUGAGGGGCCAUUAGGGACAGUAUAGAGGGAAUGAGGGGCCAUUAGGGACAGUAUAGAGGGAAUGAGGAGCCAUUAGGGACAGUGUAGAGGAAAUUAGAGUUUGAGGCCAUUAGGGACAGUAUAGAGGGACUGAGGGGCCAUUAGGGACAGUAUAGAGGGAAUGAGGGGCCAUUAGGGACAGUAUAGAGGGAAUGAGGGACCAUUAGGGACAGUAUAGAGGG